GUCUGGGACAACCACUGGAAACGGUGGCUAAUACCGGAUGUGCCGCAAGGUGAAAGGUUAACUGCCUGAAGAUGAGCUCGCGUCUGAUUAGCUAGUUGGCAGUGUAAUAGACUACCAAGGCGACGAUCAGUAGCUGGUCUGAGAGGACGAUCAGCCACACUGGGACUGAGACACGGCCCAGACUCCUACGGGAGGCAGCAGUGGGGAAUUUUCCGCAAUGGGCGAAAGCCUGACGGAGCAAUACCGCGUGAGGGAGGAAGGCUCUUGGGUCGUAAACCUCUUUUCUCAGGGAAGAACACAAUGACGGUACCUGAGGAAUAAGCAUCGGCUAACUCCGUGCCAGCAGCCGCGGUAAUACGGAGGAUGCAAGCGUUAUCCGGAAUGAUUGGGCGUAAAGCGUCCGCANGUGGCGAUGUAAGUCUGCUGUUAAAGCGUCUAGCUCAACUAGAUAAAAGCAGUGGAAACUACAUAGCUAGAGUGCGUUCGGGGCA
rnacentral:rRNA from 1 species